UGCCCAGUAACUCCUAUCCCUACCUCCACGCGGUACCGGCCGGAAACUAUGAGCAACCUUAGGCAAGAUAGGGUAACCAACCCCGGUGAGAACUUCGGUCGUGGGCUGACAGGGAAGG
rfam:Aedes albopictus isolate Foshan contig53082, whole genome shotgun sequence.